rnacentral:rRNA from 1 species
UACGUAGGCAGCAAGCGUUGUUCGGAGUUAUUGGGCGUAAAGGGUGUGUAGGUGGCGCCGUAAGUCGGGUGUGAAAUUUCGGAGCUUAACUCCGAAACUGCAUUCGAUACUGCGGUGCUUGAGGACUGGAGAGGAGACUGGAAUUCAUGGUGUAGCAGUGAAAUGCGUAGAGAUCAUGAGGAAGACCAGUGGCGAAGGCGGGUCUCUGGACAGUUCCUGACACUGAGACACGAAGGCCAGGGGAGCAAACGGG